UACUAGAGAGCUGUACUUCUUAGCAUUAGCCUUUUAAGCUAAUUAAAAUAAAAAUAUUUCUAGUAA
rnacentral:tRNA from 1 species